rnacentral:rRNA from 1 species
ACUGAAUAGAUACCCCGGGUAGUCCACGCCGUAAACUAUGAGUGCUAGAUGUUGGGAGGUUUACUUCUCAGUGUCGCAGCUAACGCAUUAAGCACUCCGCCUGGGGAGUACGGCCGCAAGGUUAAAACCCCAAAGGAAUUGACGGGGGCCCGCACAAGCGGUGGAGCAUGUGGUUUAAAAUUCGAAGCAACGCGCAGAACCUUACCAUCCCUUGACAUCCCUAUCGCGGUUUCCAGAGAUGGAUUCCUUCAGCUCGGCUGGAUAGGUGACAGGUGCUGCAUGGCUGUCGUCAGCUCGUGUCGUGAGAUGUUGGGUUUAAGUCCCGCAACGUAGCGCAACCCGUCGCUCUUAGUCGCCAUCAGGUAAACGCUGGGCACUCUAAGAGAACCUGCCGGUGAUAACGCCGGAGGAACGGUGGGGAUGACGUCAAGUCCUCAUGGCCCUUAUGGGAUGGGCUACACGACGUGCUACAAUGGCGUGACAGUGGAAGCAAGGGUGCGAGCCUGAGCAAAUCUCCAAAAGCCGU